GGUCGGUUGGCUCAGUGGUUAGAGCGUACUUCUCGUAACCUAAAGGUUGCGGGAUCGAAUCCCGCUAGAGGCUG
rnacentral:tRNA from 1 species